rnacentral:snoRNA from 10 species
ACCGCACUUUACAGGAGAAUCAUUUCUAUAGUAUUUGUCCUCUUUUGUGUUCCCUAAAGGAGCCACAGAUCCCACCGCGGUUGAUGAUCAAUAUCCUCGGCGCCCAACAGUGAGGUCCUUAUUUACUCUCGCUCUGCCUGCAAAGGUGGCGGUCGCUUCACGGCGAUUGUAUAGAGAGUGGCGAUGAUCUGUACCCCGAUUUCCAGAGGUCUGCCUUCGGGCGCUUUGGCGGGGUGGGUGUCGAUGGAAGUCUGACGCG